rnacentral:tRNA from 1 species
GGAGAUGUAGCUCAGUUGGUAGAGUAUUUGCCUCGUAUACACAAGGCCCUGGGUUCAAUCCCUAGCCACACCC